AUGGAAUAUCGAGAAAUCUAUACAAAUUAAGGGAAACGCGGUUGAUUUGGGACGUUUCGCGUAAUCCAGGAUUAUUGAUAAAAUGACCGAGGAUAAAAGGAGGGCGUUAAUGAGACUCUUAACUUGGUACGAUCUCGCGAUCCAAAAAGCAACGGCAUCGGAACCCGGAAGUAACGAGUCGCGACGAAUCGGAAUGAAGAAGGACGUCGCAACGACACGACAGGGAACAAAAUUCACACAGCGAGUCCGUCACACGAAGCUACCCCACUGUACUCAGGCGUCGCACAUUGGUAUCACUCAACCCUCAUCAGGAAGAGAUCGUUCCUCGAUUCGACCGGACGGAACGGAAGGAAAGGAGUCGAGGGAAGAGGGGAGAUAACUUGGAGUCGGUCAAGGUCGUUCGCAAGUCCGGUUACCGGAAGAACGAAGACUUCCGAUACGACGGGGAUGGAUAAUAAUGAACAACUAUGGAGAUUUGAUAAUUGAUACUCCGACGUUAAGGGUAAAAUAAGAAUCAUGGAAAUGAAGCAUUUGCCUUUGAAGAACGAGGAGCGAAAGCAACGUGUCCGAUCGUCAUCAGCCGAUCGUCUAACUGUAAAUACCGGGCGACUUCCUUCUCCUACGGAUGGCAUAGUAGCAACUAUAACUAUCGAGAUGGAUCGAUCAUAUACCUCGCUCAGCAUCCGUGCUGUCUAAUGCCCGAAGCGGCGGCGUUUCAAUUUUUGUACGAUACAUUCCCGUUUUCUCGAACGAUUUCACGCUUCGAAACUACUCUUGAUGAUCUUUGUAUAUAGAUAGACUCGAUACAUGGCUCAUUUUUCCAACAUA